GUGAAUCAUCGAAUCUUUGAACGCAUAUUGCACUCUCUGGUGUUCCGGAGAGUAUGCCUGUUUGAGGGUAAUUAAAAAGAAUCUUUACCAAUUUUUUUUGGUCAAAGUAAAUGAGUUCUCCGCGUUUAUAGCGGUAGUUUGAAAUAAAUGGUCAAGUCUCAUUUUAGUCGAGACGCGUAAUAAUAUUAUUUUGCGAAAUCUUUAUUAUAUAACUAUCAAGUUUUUCCGCGUCCAAAUU
rnacentral:misc_RNA from 1 species